rnacentral:rRNA from 1 species
UACGGAGGGGGCUAGCGUUGUUCGGAAUUACUGGGCGUAAUGCGCACGUAGGCGGCUUGGUAAGUUAGAGGUGAAAGCCUGGAGCUCAACUCCAGAAUUGCCUUUAAGACUGCCGAGCUAGCAGGUGAGAGAGGUGAGUGGAAUUCCGAGUGUAGAGGUGAAAUUCGUAGAUAUUCGGAAGAACACCAGUGGCGAAGGCGGCUCACUGGCUCAUACUGGACGCUGAGGUGCGAAAGCGUGGGGAGCAAACAGG